rnacentral:lncRNA from 1 species
CAUUCUCGAGCUUUCUUAUUCUUUCGCGCCGCGUUUCACAGGUCGUUAGAUACCACGGAUCUCUUGAGAAAAUUACAGAAACCCACGUGGCAAGAAAAGUGGAUAUUUGGAAAAGGUUGAGCAGCUGACAGUCAACUGUGUAUUCGAAAUAUACAACAUACGUUUUAGAAAAUGACACGUAAAAGAAAAAGUAACGACUGCUAUUCAGAUAGACAUAAACGUCGACUCGUUGAACAACAAACUAAAUUAAGUAUUAUUAGAAU